GACAGAGGGUGCUAGCGUUGUUCGGAAUUACUGGGCGUAAAGGGCGCGUAGGCGGCUCGUUUAGCCGGGUGUGAAAUCCCGGGGCUCAACCCCGGAACUGCAUUCGAUACUGGCGGGCUAGAGACCGGAAGAGGUGGGUGGAAUACCCAGUGUAGAGGUGAAAUUCGUAGAUAUUGGGUGGAACACCGGUGGCGAAGGCGGCUCACUGGUCCGGUUCUGACGCUGAGGCGCGAAAGCGUGGGGAGCAAACAGG
rnacentral:rRNA from 1 species